UCUCCAGCUGUUUUUGGACUACAAUUUCCAUCAUCCCUGACCACUGGUCUUGCUAGCUAGGGGUGAUGGGAGUUGUAGUCCAAAAACAGCUGGGGA